rnacentral:tRNA from 1 species
GCGCGUGGCUUAGUGGUUAGGGUAUUCGGCUCGCGAUCGUAGGGUCGCGAGUUCGACUCUCGUCGGCGCG